GAUAAGAACGUAGCGAAAUGCGAUAAGUAAUGUGAAUUGCAGAAUUCAGUGAAUCAUCGAAUCUUUGAACGCACAUUGCGCCCAUUAGUAUUCUAGUGGGCAUGCCUGUUCGAGCGUCAUUAAGUCCACUUAAGCCCUGCUUAGUGUUGGGAGACUGCUCCAGCGGUGCUACCCUGUAGCUACCCUGCAGCUCCUCAAAGACAGCGGCGGAGUUGUGGUAUCCUCUGAGCUUAGUAACUUGUUCUAGCUUUCGAGUACACCACUUCCCCUGCCGUAAAACCCUUAAUUUUUAAUGGUUGACCUCGGAUCAGGUAGGAAUACCCGCUGAACUUAAGCAUAUCAAUAAGCGGAGGA
rnacentral:misc_RNA from 1 species